UACAGAGGUCUCAAGCGUUGUUCGGAUUCAUUGGGCGUAAAGGGUGCGUAGGUGGCGCCGUAAGUCAGGUGUGAAAUUUCGGAGCUUAACUCCGAAACUGCAUUUGAUACUGCGGUGCUUGAGGACUGGAGAGGAGACUGGAAUUUACGGUGUAGCAGUGAAAUUCGUAGAUAUUGGGAAGAACACCGGUGGCGAAGGCGGCCACCUGGCUCGGUACUGACGCUGAGGCGCGACAGCGUGGGGGAGCAAACAGG
rnacentral:rRNA from 1 species